GAUCCGGCUCAGGACGAACGCUGGCGGCGCGCCUAACACAUGCAAGUCGAACGAGAGAGAGGAAGCUUGCUUCCUCAAUCGAGUGGCGAACGGGUGAGUAACGCGUGAGGAACCUGCCUCAAAGAGGGGGACAACAGUUGGAAACGACUGCUAAUACCGCAUAAGCCCACGGGUCGGCAUCGACCAGAGGGAAAAGGAGCAAUCCGCUUUGAGAUGGCCUCGCGUCCGAUUAGCUAGUUGGUGAGG
rnacentral:rRNA from 1 species